rnacentral:rRNA from 1 species
AACGAACGCUGGCGGCGUGCUUAAUACAUGCAAGUCGAACGAGAACUAGGAGCUUGCUCCUAGGGACAGUGGGAGACGGGUGAGUAACGCGUGGCAACCUACCCUUCGGGUGGGGGACAACAGUUGGAAACGACUGCUAAUACCCCAUACGUCCUACGGGAGAAAGAUUCAUCGCCGAUGGAUGGGGCCGCGUUAGAUUAGCUUGUUGGUGGGGUAAUGGCCUACCAAGGCGACGAUCUAUAGCGGGUCUGAGAGGAUGAUCCGCCACACUGGGACUGAGACACGGCCCAG